rnacentral:rRNA from 1 species
UACGUAGGGUGCAAGCGUUAAUCGGAAUUACUGGGCGUAAAGCGUGCGCAGGCGGUUGUGCAAGACAGAUGUGAAAUCCCCGGGCUCAACCCUGGGAAUUGCAUUUGUGACUGCACGGCUAGAGUGUGUCAGAGGGGGGUAGAAUUCCACGUGUAGCAGUGAAAUGCGUAGAGAUGUGGAGGAAUACCGAUGGCGAAGGCAGCCCCCUGGGAUAACACUGACGCCUCAUGCACGAAAGCGUGGGGAGCAAACAGG